AACGGCCAUACCAUGCUGAAUAUACCGGUUCUCGUUAGAUCACCGAAGUCAAGCAUCAUUGGGCGCGAUCAGUACUUGGGUGGGUGACCACCUGGGAACACCGCGUGCCGUU